UCUAUUAAGAAAAAGUGUAAAACUGCCCAUUUUAGUGAGUAAGCCAAGCUCACAGUCACAUUCCUGACAUCUACAUUUGAAUUAUAUCUAAAUACCAGUUAUUUUAAAGACAGACUUCUGUAGCCAUUGGAAAAUGUUUUCACAUUCUAUAUUCUAAUGUGUGCUUACUCCACCUCCCUCUCACUUCUUCCCAGAGACAUUACUUUUUACUUGAUCUAAUUUCAGUAUGUGUGUAUAUACAUAUAUAUAUAUAUAUAUAUAUAUAUAUAUAUAUAUAAAGUAUUUAUUUUGAUUUCUCCGUAAAUAACAGUGUUUUAAGAAGGAAAAUAUGUUCAUUUAUGCUCACAUCUACUCUAACAGCAUUUUGCUAUUUUCCAGGCUUAGAAACUUCUUGAUAAUUUUGUUUCUCUCACAACGCAAAGCAAAGCAUUCUGUCACCAACGCAGGGAGGAUGAGUCCCAGGUCAAAGGGCACUGGAGAAACAAACACCAGGGCCAGUUUAUUUAAACAGAUCGUGAGACAAGGGAGCUGACCUCAGUUUGACUUAUAGUGGGAGGAGCGAGAAGGCCAUUUUAUUGCUUUGCCCAGAAGGAAAAAAUCUUUUUGUAUCUGAAUUCACCCCUGAAGCCUUCUAAAUGCUGCCUCUGCCGUCUGCAGCUAAUUCUAAAAAGCAGUUUCAGUGGAAAAGUCCUGGGGGCCCCUGUGAUGCUGAGUUGUAAAAUCAUGCACACAGAAAUGAAGUAUCAUUUUAGAAAAUGAAAUACUUUGCUGUUUAACUAGCUACUUUUAGGUGAAGGUGUUCACUGUGACCUUAACCCAUGAUGCAAAUUUUUCAUAAUAGUAUAGAGAUUAUGAUUUAAUAAUGUUCCAAGAAUUUACUAUGUCCCAAAUAUAUUGAUAAUAUUUCAUUAUUUUGAAAUGCUUUCAAAUGAUGGCUUUCUGAAAGAGGAAGUUGGGUUGAAGGUGUAGAUCAGUUGGUACUGCACAGCACCUACUAGGCCCUGAGAUAAGUCUCACAAACCUCAUAGACUGGGCAUAGUUAAAAAUGCCUGUAAUCGUAGCAUUCAGGAUUUCAGGGUCACCCUUCUGAGCUGUAUAGCAAGCUUGAGGCCAGCUUGGGCUCCAUGGAGUCCUGCCUUCAGGCAAGCAAGAAAGUUCUAUGCAGACCUAGUACACAGCUGUGCAAUUCAAAGUGGAUGAGUUUUACUUGAUUCCCAGUGUUUCUGAUUGAUAUUGGUUUUAAUGACAGGAUUCUCAUCCUGGUGUCCAUAGAAUCUAUGAGUCUCUUAUAUCUGGAAGUCAAUUUAAAAACAGUUAUCAUCAAUACAAAAAGUAGUAAAUCAUACCUAGUACCAACGGGUGAUGAGUUAAGGGGAUGUGGUAAUGAAUUUGUCCUUUAUGUGGGGACCAGGACAGGCCCCAAGUAAAUGUGACCAGUAAGUAUAUCUCUGCCAACCUCCAGAGAGAUAUAGUCUCAGCAAACUGAAUAGAGAGGCCUGAGUGAUAACAGGCUCAAAAUAUGAGAGGGACUCAGCUCUAAAAAGAAAACCUUUGAAGAACCAUGGAUGUUUAACCCAGGG
rnacentral:lncRNA from 1 species